rnacentral:rRNA from 1 species
GGUUAAGUGAAUAAGGGCGCACGGUGGAUGCCUUGGCACUAGGAGCCGAUGAAGGACGGGACUAACACCGAUAUGCUUUGGGGAGCUGUACGUAAGCUAUGAUCCAGAGAUUUCCGAAUGGGGGAACCCAACAUCUUUAAUAGGAUGUUACGAUUGUGUGAAUACAUAGCACAUUCGAGGUAGACGCAGAGAACUGAAACAUCUAAGUACCUGCAGGAAGAGAAAGAAAAUUCGAUUCCCUGAGUAGCGGCGAGCGAAACGGGAAAAGCCCAAACCAGCAAGCUUGCUUGUUGGGGUUGUAGGACUCCAAUAUGGUAGUUCUUUCAGAUAGUCGAAUGACUUGGAAAAGUCAGUCAAAGAGGGUAAAAACCCCGUAGACGAAAUGUGGAAGACACCUAGGAGGAUCCUGAGUACGGCGGAACACGAGAAAUUCCGUCGGAAUCCGGGAGGACCAUCUCCCAAGGCUAAAUACUCCCUAGUGACCGAUAGUGAACCAGUACCGUGAGGGAAAGGUGAAAAGCACCCCGGAAGGGGAGUGAAAUAGAACCUGAAACCGUGUGCCUACAACAAGUCAAAGCCCGUUAAUGGGUGAUGGCGUGCCUUUUGUAGAAUGAACCGGCGAGUUACGAUUGCAUGCGAGGUUAAGUUGAAGAGACGGAGCCGCAGCGAAAGCGAGUCUGAAUAGGGCGUUUGAGUAUGUAGUCGUAGACCCGAAACCAUGUGAUCUACCCAUGUCCAGGUUGAAGGUGCGGUAAAACGCACUGGAGGACCGAACCCACGUACGUUGAAAAGUGCGGGGAUGAGGUGUGGGUAGCGGAGAAAUUCCAAACGAACUUGGAGAUAGCUGGUUCUCUCCGAAAUAGCUUUAGGGCUAGCCUCGGAAUUGAGAAUGAUGGAGGUAGAGCACUGUUUGGACUAGGGGCCCAUCUCGGGUUACCGAAUUCAGAUAAACUCCGAAUGCCAUUCAUUCAUAUCCGGGAGUCAGACUGUGAGUGAUAAGAUCCAUAGUCGAAAGGGAAACAGCCCAGACCACCAGCUAAGGUCCCAAAAUAUAUGUUAAGUGGAAAAGGAUGUGGGGUUGCACAGACAACUAGGAUGUUGGCUUAGAAGCAGCCACCAUUUAAAGAGUGCGUAAUAGCUCACUAGUCGAGUGACCCUGCGCCGAAAAUGUACCGGGGCUAAACAUAUUACCGAAGCUGUGGAGUACACCUUUAGGUGUAUUGGUAGGAGAGCGUUCUAAGGGCGUUGAAGGCAGAUCGUGAGGACUGCUGGAGCGCUUAGAAGUGAGAAUGCCGGUAUGAGUAGCGAAAGACAGGUGAGAAUCCUGUCCACCGAAUGACUAAGGUUUCCUGGGGAAGGCUCGUCCGCCCAGGGUUAGUCGGGACCUAAGCCGAGGCCGACAGGCGUAGGCGAUGGAUAACAGGUUGAUAUUCCUGUACCCGUUGUUUUUGUUUGAGCAAUGGAGGGACGCAGGAGGCUAAGGAAUGCAGACGAUCGGAAAUGUCUGUCCAAGCAGUAAGUCUGAAGAGGAGUCAAAUGCUUCUUUUCUUAAGGACAAGCUGUGAUGGGGAGGGAAAUAAUAGUACCGAAGUUCCUGAUGUCACACUGCCGAGAAAAGCUUCUAGUGAGAAAACAGCGGCCCGUACCGCAAACCGACACAGGUAGUCGAGGAGAGAAUCCUAAGGUGAGCGAGAGAACUCUCGUUAAGGAACUCGGCAAAAUGACCCCGUAACUUCGGGAGAAGGGGUGCUGAUCAUACGAUCAGCCGCAGUGAAUAGGCCCAAGCGACUGUUUAUCAAAAACACAGGUCUCUGCAAAAUCGUAAGAUGAAGUAUAGGGGCUGACGCCUGCCCGGUGCUGGAAGGUUAAGAGGAGUGCUUAGCGCAAGCGAAGGUACGAAUUGAAGCCCCAGUAAACGGCGGCCGUAACUAUAACGGUCCUAAGGUAGCGAAAUUCCUUGUCGGGUAAGUUCCGACCCGCACGAAAGGCGUAACGAUUUGGGCACUGUCUCAACGAGAGACUCGGUGAAAUUUUAGUACCUGUGAAGAUGCAGGUUACCCGCGACAGGACGGAAAGACCCCAUGGAGCUUUACUGUAGUUUGAUAUUGAGUGUCUGUACCGCAUGUACAGGAUAGGUAGGAGCCGUAGAAAUCGGAACGCUAGUUUCGAUGGAGGCGCUGGUGGGAUACUACCCCUGCGUUAUGGCCACUCUAACCCGCACCACUAAUCGUGGUGGGAGACAGUGUCAGAUGGGCAGUUUGACUGGGGCGGUCGCCUCCUAAAAGGUAACGGAGGCGCCCAAAGGUUCCCUCAGAAUGGUUGGAAAUCAUUCGAAGAGUGUAAAGGCAGAAGGGAGCUUGACUGCGAGACCAACAAGUCGAGCAGGGACGAAAGUCGGGCUUAGUGAUCCGGUGGUUCCGCAUGGAAGGGCCAUCGCUCAACGGAUAAAAGCUACCCUGGGGAUAACAGGCUUAUCUCCCCCAAGAGUCCACAUCGACGGGGAGGUUUGGCACCUCGAUGUCGGCUCGUCGCAUCCUGGGGCUGUAGUCGGUCCCAAGGGUUGGGCUGUUCGCCCAUUAAAGCGGCACGC